UUUAUUUUGUAUCAGCGGCACGCCGCACAGAUUUGCUUCACAAGAUGGGAGGGGCGGAUCUUGCGAUCCUCUCGAUAAUGAUCCAUCCGCAGGUUCACCUACGGAUA
rnacentral:misc_RNA from 1 species